rnacentral:rRNA from 1 species
UACGGAGGGUGCAAGCGUUGUUCGGAAUCAUUGGGCGUAAAGAGCGUGUAGGCGGCCACUUAAGUCCUGCGUGAAAUCUUGCGGCUCAACCGCAAGCGGUCGUGGGAAACUGGGUGGCUAGAGUGCGGGAGAGGAGAGUGGAAUUCCUGGUGUAGCGGUGGAAUGCGCAGAUAUCAGGAAGAACACCCGUGGCGAAGGCGGCUCUCUGGAACGCAACUGACGCUGAGACGCGAAAGCGUGGGGAGCAAACAGG